rfam:Phlebiopsis gigantea 11061_1 CR5-6 unplaced genomic scaffold PHLGIscaffold_105, whole genome shotgun sequence.
GGCAAGAUGGCCGAGCGGUCCAAGGCGCCGGAUUCAAGCUGCUUUGAUAGCUUGCUGACUUACUGUCAGCUGCAUCCCGGUCACGAAAGUGGCGCGAGUUCGAAUCUCGCUCUUGUCA